AAAGGGGAUUCUAAUCCCUUGUGAAACAGAUUAGAGUUUUGAUCAAGAACAGAGAAAGAAUUAAGGUUUUUAGAAGGUAUAGCUGCAUCCAUGAUGGAUUGCCUACGUACCCUGUGAAGGAAUCAAGCCAUUCGUAGUUCUCACUAGGUAUAAAGUUAUGUGUUUCUUCUGAGUAUCAAAAGAUCUUCCUUUUGUGAAGUCCCUGAGGCGCUUUAUAUAGGCCGUUAAACCGCCUCCCUAGCGAUAUUCUCGUAAGAUUUCCAUUUAUCCUUAAGUCGGUUCUGGAGGAUAAUCGUAUUAAAGAUAUUUUCUUUAUUCUUCGGAGGCUUCAGAAGGAUUUCUUGAUCCGACAUUAUCUUCAAACAUUCUCCUUUAUCAUUUCCGAAAGUCCCAUAAAAGAUCUUAUUUUACCGGAAAUGAUCCUUUGAGAAUGAAUGGUUUUUACAAGUCUUUGCCUCAGGUGUUCUUCACGGCUCGGUGGUCGUUUGAGAGGUGGCUUCGAGCAAACGGUAUGUACCGGUUCGGGGCGCGCUUGAUGACUGUCCAUUAAGCUCAGUUGGCUGUCUCCAAAGCCGAUAUAUAUGUUUCCCGCACCGUUUUCACGAUUGGCUCGGGCUGUGUUCAUAGGAUUAACAUCCGAGCCAUUUUACGAAGUCUCUCCAGGACGGUUGAUCGAAUAAGGUCCCAAGGUGCUUUGUUCUAGGCUAGGGGCCAAUCAUAUGUUUAACCAUGAGGUGAUUGUUAUUCUUAGACUGUUUGGCUCGGUCUUGCUUGUGGGGGAAUCCGACCCCAACAAAAAUAAUGAUCACUACUUAACUAGCACAAAAGGAUAAGCUACAUAGCCUACAUAGUGUGGUCAAAAACACAAUCUACUAAUUAAUCAUAUUUAUUUCAUUAAUUAAGUCUUU
rnacentral:sRNA from 1 species